AGAGUUUGAUCAUGGCUCAGGACGAACGCUGGCGGCGUGCCUAAUACAUGCAAGUCGAGCGAGCUUGCCUAGAUGAUUUUAGUGCUUGCACUAAAUGAAACUAGAUACAAGCGAGCGGCGGACGGGUGAGUAACACGUGGGUAACCUACCCAAGAGACUGGGAUAACACCUGGAAACAGAUGCUAAUACCGGAUAACAACGCUAGACGCAUGUCUAGAGUUUGAAAGAUGGUUCUGCUAUCACUCUUGGAUGGACCUGCGGUGCAUUAGCUAGUUGGUAGGGUAACGGCUUACCAAGGCAAUGAUGCAUAGCCGAGUUGAGAGACUGAUCGGCCACAUUGGGACUGAGACACGGCCCAAACUCCUACGGGAGGCAGCAGUAGGGAAUCUUCCACAAUGGACGAAAGUCUGAUGGAGCAACGCCGCGUGAGUGAAGAAGGGUUUCGGCUCGUAAAGCUCUGUUGGUAGUGAAGAAAGAUAGAGGUAGUAACUGGCCUUUAUUUGACGGUAAUUACUUAGAAAGUCACGGCUAACUACGUGCCAGCAGCCGCGGUAAUACGUAGGUGGCAAGCGUUGUCCGGAUUUAUUGGGCGUAAAGCGAGUGCAGGCGGUUCAAUAAGUCUGAUGUGAAAGCCUUCGGCUCAACCGGAGAAUUGCAUCAGAAACUGUUGAACUUGAGUGCAGAAGAGGAGAGUGGAACUCCAUGUGUAGCGGUGGAAUGCGUAGAUAUAUGGAAGAACACCAGUGGCGAAGGCGGCUCUCUGGUCUGCAACUGACGCUGAGGCUCGAAAGCAUGGGUAGCGAACAGGAUUAGAUACCCUGGUAGUCCAUGCCGUAAACGAUGAGUGCUAAGUGUUGGGAGGUUUCCGCCUCUCAGUGCUGCAGCU
rnacentral:rRNA from 1 species